UUCCGUCUUUUUGAGUGCACCUCUGAUUCGCUGACCAGGAGAGAGUAAAGGAGCAAGAGCGCCAGCGUCGAACCGGCUCCUGGCUCGCGGCUUCCUGCUUCCUGUCCUGUCGGGAGGACCAAAGUGAGCGCGGGAGGAUCCCUGCCCUCCUUUUCCCCACCUUGGCUCAGCCCCGUAAAGACCCUGCUCUUCCCCAGCGGCAGAUGGAGGCCAAGGAGGGCCCGACUUCUGGCUUCCUCAUGGCCCCCUUUCAGGAGCCAGUGACCUUCCGGGAUGUGGCCGUGGACUUCACCUGGGAGGAGUGGAGGGUCCUGGAGCCGGCCCAGAGGGCCCUGCACAGGGACGUGAUGCUGGAGACCUUCCAGAACCUGGUCUCUGUGG
rnacentral:lncRNA from 1 species